GCGCCUGUGGUGAAACUGGCAGACACGUUGGAUUUAGGUUCCAAUGUCAAUAGACGUGCAGGUUCAAGUCCUGUCAGGCGCA
rnacentral:tRNA from 1 species